GAUGAACGCUGGCGGCGUGCCUAAUACAUGCAAGUCGAGCGAACGGACGAGAAGCUUGCUUCUCUGAUGUUAGCGGCGGACGGGUGAGUAACACGUGGAUAACCUACCUAUAAGACUGGGAUAACUUCGGGAAACCGGAGCUAAUACCGGAUAAUCUUUUGAACCGCAUGGUUCAAAAGUGAAAGACGGUCUUGCUGUCACUUAUAGAUGGAUCCGCGCUGCAUUAGCUAGUUGGUAAGGUAACGGCCUACCAAGGCAACGAUGCAUAGCCGACCUGAGAGGGUGAUCGGCCACACUGGAACUGAGACACGGUCCAGACUCCUACGGGAGGCAGCAGUAGGGAAUCUGCCGCAAUGGGCGAAAGCCUGACGGAGCAACGCCGCGUGAGUGAUGAAGGUCUUCGGAUCGUAAAACUCUGUUAUUAGGGAAGAACAUAUGUGUAAGUAACUGUGCACAUCUUGACGGUACCUAAUCAGAAAGCCACGGCUAACUACGUG
rnacentral:rRNA from 1 species